rnacentral:rRNA from 1 species
UACGGGGGGGGCAAGCGUUGUUCGGAAUUACUGGGCGUAAAGGGUGCGUAGGCGGUUUGUCGCGUCUGCUGUGAAAACUCGGGGCUUAACCCCGGGCCUGCAGUGGGUACGGGCAGACUAGAGUGCGGUAGGGGAGACUGGAAUUCCUGGUGUAGCGGUGAAAUGCGCAGAUAUCAGGAGGAACACCAAUGGCGAAGGCAGCUCACUGGGACGAUACUGACGCUGAGACGCGAAAGCGUGGGGAGCAAACAGG